UCGGGAAUUUUGGGCAAUGGGCGAAAGCCUGACCCAGCAACGCCGCGUGAAGGAUGAAGUAUUUCGGUAUGUAAACUUCGAAAGAAUAGGAAGAAUAAAUGACGGUACUAUUUAUAAGGUCCGGCUAACUACGUGCCAGCAGCCGCGGUAAUACGUAGGGACCAAGCGUUGUUCGGAUUUACUGGGCGUAAAGGGCGCGUAGGCGGCAAUUCAAGUCAUCUGUGAAAUCUCCGGGCUUAACUCGGAACGGUCAGAUGAUACUGCUUUGCUAGAGUGCAGAAGGGGCAAUCGAAAUUCUUGGUGUAGCGGUGAAAUGCGUAGAUAUCAAGAGGAACACCUGAGGUGAAGACGGGUUGCUGGGCUGACACUGACGUUGAGGCACGAAAGCGUGGGGAGCAAACAGGAUUAGAUACCCAAGUAGUCCCUGAGCGGGCUGGCAAGGCGCAU
rnacentral:rRNA from 1 species